ensembl:lncRNA
CUUCCUCUGAGCUAAAACAUGCCUAACAUCAGUGUGAAGUGUGCAGAGAUUGAGACUGACGGCGGGUUUGAGUUCAAACUUCCCUCUGAUUCACUGAAUCACACACUCAGAGACUGUGAGCAGAGCUGGUAUCUACAGGACGGGCGUCUGAUAGCAGAUCCAUCAGAUCCUCAAACACUGAUUGAUCCUGUGACGGCUGUAAAAUCUGAUCGUCUUGUCACGUCUCAGUGUGUGAAUCUGAAUCAUGAGAUCAUCUGUGAUUCUGCUGAUGGAUCUCAUUUCAGUCGUGUGACCGCAUUCAGAGUGAGGAAUGAAACUGCAGCGACUCCAAACUCAGAUCUCCUGAAUGAAGUGAGUCCAGAUCUCCAUCAUUCAGUAGAUCACUUCUGGUGGCUUUUGGCUGUUUUCAUCAUUGUUCUUCUCAUCAUCUUCUUGAUCUGUUUGUUGAAGCGUAAAAGCAUUUUCAGAUGUUUUCAGAGGUUCAUCUGUCAGCGUGACGAAGAUGAUUCAGAAAACAGGGAUCCCGAAGCUGCUGUCCAAAUGAUCUGAUGCUCCUGAUUCACUGAAUCAAUCUCAGUGUGAAUCGACUCAUGUCAUUAUUUACUCAAACGUCACUGUGAUCUUUGACAUGAAGAUGAUGAAGGGAGUUUGUGUUCAUUCUGAGCUUCUCAACUCUUAUUUAUUCUCGUUCGUCCUCAAAUGUAAUGCAAAUGAUUACAUGAGAUAUAAAACACUGAAGCAUCUUACAAUCAAAAUGUGUGUUUGUUUUGUUCAUCAUUCAUCAAUUUAAUCAUUCAUGAUCAUUCCGUCAUUUACAUCUAUUCAUUCAAUCGUUUAUAUUGUUUUAUGUUUUAGAUUAUUAUUAUUAGGUUGUUCAUCCUGGUGUUUUUUAUGCUUCAUGUAAUGUGUGUCAUCAUGAACGAGACGAGGGUGAUGUCUCCAGCUGCAGGGUUUUAAAGGAUGUCUUGUUAUACAGUAAUAACUCUUGCUGUAGGUUGUACUGAUCAGAUGAAGUCUGACUGAGCAGUGAAACAGACACAACUAAGGUUUUGCAGAGGAGCAGUCAUCUGAGUGUUCAAACUAAAAUCAGGUGGAAAGAACAGCAGGAGAGGAAAAAUAAACAAAUGAAGUAUCAGAUUGGUGAUGUAUGU